GAUGUAGCAAUACUUUGAAUUUCUUAAUGGCGAACGGGUGAGUAACGCGUUGGUGACCUACCCCGAAGAGCGGGAUAACGGUUUGAAAAGACCGCUAAUACCUCAUGUGAUCAUAUGGAUUAGAAGCCUAAUGAUUAAAGGAGCUUGCUCCGCUUUGGGAGGGGCCAUCGUACCAUCAGCUGGUUGGUAGGGUAAUGGCUUACCAAGGCUAUGACGGUUAGGGGACCUGAAAGGGUGGCCCCCCACAAUGGAACUGAAACACGGUCCAUACACCUACGGGUGGCAGCAUUAGGGAAUAUUGGUAAUGCGCGAAAGCGUGAACCAGCAACGCCGCGUGUGCGAUGAAGGCCUUCGGGUUGUAAAGCACUUUUCGGGAGGAAGAGGAAGGACUGUACUCCCAGAAUAAACCUCGGCUAACUACGUGCCAC
rnacentral:rRNA from 1 species